AUUGAACGCUGGCGGCAGGCCUAACACAUGCAAGUCGAGCGGCAGCACGGGUACUUGUACCUGGUGGCGAGCGGCGGACGGGUGAGUAAUGCCUAGGAAUCUGCCUGGUAGUGGGGGAUAACGCUCGGAAACGGACGCUAAUACCGCAUACGUCCUACGGGAGAAAGCAGGGGACCUUCGGGCCUUGCGCUAUCAGAUGAGCCUAGGUCGGAUUAGCUAGUUGGUGAGGAAUGGCUCACCAAGGCGACGAUCCGUAACUGGUCUGAGAGGAUGAUCAGUCACACUGGAACUGAGACACGGUCCAGACUCCUACGGAGGCAGCAGUGGGGAAUAUUGGACAAUGGCGAAAGCCUGAUCCAGCCAUGCCGCGUGUGUGAAGAAGGUCUUCGGAUUGUAAAGCAC
rnacentral:rRNA from 1 species